CUGACUACUGUUUUUAAUACCCUAGCAAAACAACGGACAGAAAUGGCGAAGCCAAAUGCCUCACACUCCAAGUCAUCAUCAAACAGCCUUGUCAUCAAAUACAAACAGAAACGUGACCUCAAGAUAAAUUCCAUGUGAUAAAAUUCGUCAUAGAUUUGAAUACUCAACGCUAAACUAAGAACAUAUUCAAACAAUUCAUAUUUCUUCAAGUUUCAAGAGAUUCCACCGGAAACUUCAACACACACACAAUCGGACACAAAAUGCAACAACAACAACAAGUUGCUUCCAGAUUCAAUCAAAUUUCGAACAUAGAGACAGAGACAGAAAGGAGAAGAGAUUAACCUGAGCAAUAUUUCUUUAAUUAGUUCAAUUUGCAAGCCAUUACAAGUCAAAUUCGAAUUUCAGCAGUAACAGGGAACUCCAACAUGAACUUCUUCAAAUUUCACUCAGAUGAAGUCCUUGAUAGAACCAAAAACUUCACCGGAGACCUCGAACAGAAACUACGAACAAGACUCGAAACUCGCCGGAACCAUGACAAAAUUCAGAAACGGACCUUGAAUCGGCACCUCUGAUUUGCUCUAUUUUGGACGAUGCCUACCGGACUGUUUCACGGAGAUUUUAUCUGGUUUCGUGGCUGAAAAAGGUGAAAUCAGGGGGGUGAGGUCAUUUUUGGGUGUUAAGCGGCGGAUCC
rnacentral:lncRNA from 1 species